GUCGCCCUGCGGUGUGCGUGUUACCGGUCGAUAUGUUUUGAGCCAACACCAAAACAUAGGGAGCCUGAUCCUCAGUCUCGCGGCCGUCCUGCCCCCACUUCGGUGAUGGGGACUACGAAAGCGAACGGGAGGCACCCACCUGCUUUCGAGCAGGUUCAAAACGUCGAAUCUUCACGGCACAUGUGGGGAGGCA
rnacentral:other from 2 species